UGGAGGUAGAAGGCCUACGGGUCGUGAACUUCUUUUCCCGGAGAAGAAGCAAUGACGGUAUCUGGGGAAUAAGCAUCGGCUAACUACGUGCCAGCAGCCGCGGUAAUACGUAGGGUGCAAGCGUUAAUCGGAAUUACUGGGCGUAAAGCGUGCGCAGGCGGUUGUGCAAGACAGAUGUGAAAUCCCCGGGCUUAACCUGGGAACUGCAUUUGUGACUGCACGGCUAGAGUGUGUCAGAGGGAGGUAGAAUUCCACGUGUAGCAGUGAAAUGCGUAGAUAUGUGGAGGAAUACCGAUGGCGAAGGCAGCCUCCUGGGAUAACACUGACGCUCAUGCACGAAAGCGUGGGGAGCAAACAGGAUUAGAUACCCUGGUAGUCCACGCCCUAAACGA
rnacentral:rRNA from 1 species